rnacentral:sRNA from 1 species
AGCCAUAAAUCAACUCCUGCUUAGUUGGUUGUGGUUAGCGGUUGUGGCAGGUUGCCGCCUGCUCCAUCCGCGUU